rnacentral:rRNA from 1 species
UGGGGAAUAUUGCACAAUGGGGGAAACCCUGAUGCAGCGACGCCGCGUGAGCGAAGAAGGUUUUCGAAUCGUAAAGCUCUGUCCUAUGAGAAGAUAAUGACGGUAUCAUAGGAGGAAGCCCUGGCUAAAUACGUGCCAGCAGCCGCGGUAAUACGUAUGGGGCGAGCGUUGUCCGGAAUUAUUGGGCGUAAAGGGUACGUAGGCGGUUUUUUAAGUCAGGUGUCAAAGCGUGGAGCUUAACUCCAUUAAGCACUUGAAACUGAAAGACUUGAGUGAAGGAGAGGAAAGUGGAAUUCCUAGUGUAGCGGUGAAAUGCGUAGAUAUUAGGAGGAAUACCGGUGGCGAAGGCGACUUUCUGGACUUUUACUGACGCUCAGGUACGAAAGCGUGGGGAGCAAACAGG